rnacentral:rRNA from 1 species
UUAGAGUUUGAUCCUGGCUCAGGAUGAACGCUAGCGAGAGGCCUAACACAUGCAAGUCGAGGGGUAACAGGGGAGCUUGCUCCCGCUGACGACCGGCGCACGGGUGAGUAACGCGUAUGCAACCUGCCCGCUACAGGGGGAUAGCCUUCCGAAAGGGAGAUUAACACCGCAUAACACCGCGACGGGGCAUCCUGAUGCGGUUAAAUAUUCAUAGGUAGCGGCUGGGCAUGCGUGACAUUAGCUAGUUGGCGGGGCAACGGCCCACCAAGGCGACGAUGUCUAGGGGAACUGAGAGGUCGAUCCCCCACACUGGUACUGAGACACGGACCAGACUCCUACGGGAGGCAGCAGUGAGGAAUAUUGGUCAAUGGACGGAAGUCUGAACCAGCCAUGCCGCGUGGAGGAGGACGGCCCUAUGGGUUGUAAACUCCUUUUGCCGGAGAGUAAUAAGGGUCCUGCGGGGUCCGAUGAGAGUAUCUGGCGAAUAAGCAUCGGCUAACUCCGUGCCAGCAGCCGCGGUAAUACGGAGGAUGCAAGCGUUAUCCGGAUUUAUUGGGUUUAAAGGGUGCGUAGGCGGACGCGUAAGUCAGCGGUGAAAUAUCCCGGCCCAACCGGGAGGCUGCCGUUGAUACUGCGCGACUGGAGUCCAAACGGCGCCGGCGGAAUAUGCAAUGUAGCGGUGAAAUGCUUAGAUAUUGCAUAGAACACCGAUCGCGAAGGCAGCUGGCGAGGAUGGCACUGACGCUGAGGCACGAAGGCGUGGGGAUCAAACAGGAUUAGAUACCCUGGUAGUCCACGCAGUAAACGAUGACAACUUGUUGUCGGCGAUAGACAGUCGGUGACAAAGCGAAAGCGAUAAGUUGUCCACCUGGGGAGUACGAUCGCAAGGUUGAAACUCAAAGGAAUUGACGGGGGCCCGCACAAGCGGAGGAGGAUGUGGUUUAAUUCGAUGAUACGCGAGGAACCUUACCCAGACUCAAAUGGGAGCCGACCGGUGCAGAGAUGCGCCCUUCCUUCGGGACGGCUUUCAAGGUGCUGCAUGGUUGUCGUCAGCUCGUGCCGUGAGGUGUCAGGUUAAGUCCUAUAACGAGCGCAACCCCUACGUCCAGUUGCCAGCGGGUGAAGCCGGGGACUCUGGAGGGACUGCCGGCGCAAGCCGAGAGGAAGGUGGGGAUGACGUCAAAUCAGCACGGCCCUUACGUCUGGGGCGACACACGUGCUACAAUGGCCGGUACAGAGGGCAGCUACGCCGCGAGGCGAUGCGAAUCUCGAAAGCCGGUCUCAGUUCGGAUCGGAGUCUGCAACCCGACUCCGUGAAGUUGGAUUCGCUAGUAAUCGCGCAUCAGCCAUGGCGCGGUGAAUACGUUCCCGGGCCUUGCACUCACCGCCCGUCA